GGCUGGUUAGCUCAGUCAGCUGAGCGUGGCACUAACAACGCUGAGGUCACAGGUUUGAUUCCUGUUCGGUCC
rnacentral:tRNA from 1 species